rnacentral:lncRNA from 1 species
AGAGACGGGGGAAAUAGAGAGUUAAAUGGAAUGAAAACUUAAUCGAACGUUUCAUAUGAACUGGUGUUCUUCUGUUGGGCUCCUAAGUCCAUUAUCUUUAAUUGAGUGGGCUUCAUCCAAGUCACAAAACUCGUCGCUAAAAAAACACAGUUUUUUUUUACGUGGGACCCACCUAAUACUGAGGUGUGGAUGCUUUAAGAGGAGAGUAAACUGUGGCAUUUAUAUAUGUAUGAUUAGUGAUACAUUUUAUUAUCCAAAUGACGGUAAGGCUUACACAUCUUAUAUGUAUUUCUCUAUUUUUACCUCUAAAAUAGCGGAACUCUAUAAUCGAGAUGUGUUUUACUCCAAUAUAUUUAUCUAAAAUAGAGAUCUCUACAUAUAGAGCAAAAUAUAGAGGAAUGAUAUUUCUUCUUCUAUAAAUAGAGCAAAAACUAGCAAUC